rnacentral:rRNA from 1 species
UACGUAGGGGCAAGCGUUGUCCGGAAUUAUUGGGCGUAAAGAGCUCGUAGGCGGUUCAGUAAGUCGGGUGUGAAACCCCCAGGCUCACCUGGGGACGCCACCCGAUACUGCUGUGACUAGAGUCCAGUAGGGAGUGUGGAAUUCCCGGUGUAGCGGUGAAAUGCGCAGAUAUCGGGAGGAACACCAGCGGCGAAGGCGGCACUCUGGGCUGGAACGUGACGCUGAGGAGCGAAAGCGUGGGUAGCGAACAGG